rnacentral:rRNA from 1 species
ACGCUCGACACCUACGGGAGGCAGCAGUGGGGGAUAUUGCACAAUGGGGGAAACCCUGAUGCAGCAACGCCGCGUGAAGGAAGAAGGUCUUCGGAUUGUAAACUUCUGUCCUCAGGGAAGAUAAUGACGGUACCUGAGGAGGAAGCUCCGGCUAACUACGUGUCAGCAGCAGCGGUAAUCUGAGCGGCUGGCAAGGC